UGGGGAAUAUUGCACAAUGGAGGAAACUCUGAUGCAGCAACGCCGCGUGAAGGAUGAAGGUUUUCGGAUUGUAAACUUCUUUGAUUGGGGACGAAUAAUGACGGUACCCAAGGAACAAGCCACGGCUAACUACGUGCCAGCAGCCGCGGUAAUACGUAGGUGGCGAGCGUUGUCCGGAAUUACUGGGUGUAAAGGGCGUGUAGGCGGGAAAGCAAGUCAGAUGUGAAAUUCCGAGGCUUGACUUCGGAGCUGCAUCUGAAACUGUUUUUCUUGAGUGCUGGAGAGGAAAGCGGAAUUCCUAGUGUAGCGGUGAAAUGCGUAGAUAUUAGGAGGAACACCAGUGGCGAAUGCGGCUUUCUGGACAGUAACUGACGCUGAGGCGCGAAAGCGUGGGGAGCAAACA
rnacentral:rRNA from 1 species